ACUCAGGAAAACCUCUAUGUCAAAUUUAUCAGCCUGGGAUCUCAGCCUCUCCAGCCCCAACCAAGGCAAAACUCUGAGCCUGUGGGAGAGUCUCGCUCUGCCACCCAGGUUAAGAGUGCAGUGGUGUGAUCUCAGCUCACUACAACCUCCACCUCCCAGGCUCAAGAGAUUCUCCUUCCUCAGCCUCCCGAGUAGGUGAAACUACAGUAGGUGGUAGUAAUACCGAAGAAAUGCCAGCUGCCAGCCUGCCUUCUCCAGCCGCUGUGCUCCUCUUGUGUUAUCCUGACAGUGGCUCAGCAACCACUGCAGUGUACGAGGAAGAAUAUGAGCGUCUAAGUCAGACUAGCUUCUGCUUGACCCCCAGCUUCACAGGAAAACCUAUUCUGCAUGUUUCUAGGAUUGAGAUAAUAUAUGCAAAACCCUUGGUAAAGUGCCUGCCACACAGUAGGAUGUAUACAAAUAUUAGCUAAUAUUAGUCUAUUUGAACUGCCAUGAACAAGGGAGUUCCACAUGAGAAACAGAACAUUAUAACCCUAUUCCUUUUUACGUUCAUUUGGUAUUCAAAAAACAUUUUGGGGAGGAACACUCUGAACACAAUCCUAUAAAAGGGAAUUAAAAUAAUCCUCGUUGAUGAUGAAAAGGUC